UUUUUAUAAUGGUUUUUUAAGUGGCUAAAAGUUUAAGGUGGAAAGUUGAGAUUCCAACUAGUAUAGGGCGGAAAAUUCAGACAACCCAUAAUCAAAAGAAAAACAUUUUUCCUCAUUUUGAGUUUUCUUGAAUCUAAGUUUCCUUUGGCAUAAAUGGUCUAGCACUAUUGAAUUAUUUUUC
rnacentral:sRNA from 1 species